AUGAACGCUGGCGGCGUGCCUAAUACAUGCAAGUCGCGCGAACAGACGAGGAGCUUGCUCCUCUGACGUUAGCGGCGGACGGGUGAGUAACACGUGGAUAACCUACCUAUAAGACUGGGAUAACUUCGGGAAACCGGAGCUAAUACCGGAUAAUAUAUUGAACCGCAUGGUUCAAUAGUGAAAGACGGUUUUGCUGUCACUUAUAGAUGGAUCCGCGCCGCAUUAGCUAGUUGGUAAGGUAACGGCGUACCAAGGCAACGAUGCGUAGCCGACCUGAGAGGGUGAUCGGCCACACUGGAACUGAGACACGGUCCAGACUCCUACGGGAGGCAGCAGUAGGGAAUCUUCCGCAAUGGGCGAAAGCUUGACGGAGCAACGCCGCGUGAGUGAUGAAGGUCUUCGGAUCGUAAAACUCUGUUAUUAGGGAAGAACAAAUGUGUAAGUAACUAUGCACGUCUUGACGGUACCUAAUCAGAAAGCCACGGCUAACUACGUG
rnacentral:rRNA from 1 species